rnacentral:rRNA from 1 species
UACGUAGGGUCCGAGCGUUGUCCGGAAUUAUUGGGUCGUAAAGGGCUCGUAGGCGGUCCGUCACGUCGGGAGUGAAACUCAGGGCUCAACCCUGAGCGUGCUUCCGAUACGGGCGGACUAGAGGUAUGCAGGGGAGAACGGAAUCCUGGUGUAGCGGUGGAAUGCGCAGAUAUCAGGAGGAACACCGGUGGCGAAGGCGGUCUCUGGGCAUUACCUGACGCUGAGGAGCGAAAGCAUGGGGAGCGAACAGG